UACGUAGGGGGCAAGCGUUGUCCGGAUUCAUUGGGCGUAAAGCGCACGUAGGCGGAUUGGUCAGUUAGGGGUGAAAUCCUGGAGCUCAACUCCAGAACUGCCUUUAAUACUGCCAGUCUCGAGUCCGGAAGAGGUAAGUGGAACUCCUAGUGUAGAGGUGGAAUUCGUAGAUAUUAGGAAGAACACCAGUGGCGAAGGCGGCUUACUGGUCCGGUACUGACGCUGAGGUGCGAAAGCGUGGGGAGCAAACAGG
rnacentral:rRNA from 1 species